GACUCGGUGGCGGAUGGUCCGCGUCUGCGCUUGUUGGGAUGGGGAAGAAUGAUUUGAGCAGAAGGUGCUUGCUCGAUUCAGGCUCGAGUCA